rnacentral:rRNA from 1 species
GCAUAACGCGAAGAACCUUACCUACCCUUGACAUGUCAGAGAUCCCUGAGAGAUUGGGGAGUGCCGCAAGGAAUCUGAACACAGGUGCUGCAUGGCUGUCGUCAGCUCGUGUCGUGAGAUGUUGGGUUAAGUCCCGCAACGAGCGCAACCCUUGUCGUUAAUUGCCAUCAUUUGGUUGGGCACUUUAACGAGACUGCCGGUGACAAACCGGAGGAAGGUGGGGAUGACGUCAAGUCCUCAUGGCCCUUAUGGGUAGGGCUUCACACGUCAUACAAUGGUCGGUACAGAGGGUUGCGAAGCCGCGAGGUGGAGCCAAUCCCAGAAAGCCGAUCGUAGUCCGGAUUGGAGGCUGCAACUCGCCUCCAUGAAGUCGGAAUCGCUAGUAAUCGCGGAUCAGCAUGUCGCGGUGAAUACGUUCCCGGGUCUUGUACACACCG